rnacentral:rRNA from 1 species
UACGUAGGCAGCGAGCGUUGUUCGGAGUUACUGGGCGUAAAGGGUGCGUAGGCGGUUGUUUAAGUUUGGUGUGAAAUCUCCCGGCUCAACUGGGAGGGUGCGCCGAAUACUGAAUGACUAGAGUGCGGGAGAGGAUAGUGGAAUUCCUGGUGAUAGCGGUGAAAUGCGUAGAUAUCAGGAGGAACACCGGUGGUGUAGACGGCUAUCUGGACCGUAACUGACGCUGAGGCACGAAAGCGUGGGUAGCAAACAGG